AGUGAACGCUGGCGGUAGGCCUAACACAUGCAAGUCGAACGGCAGCACAGUAAGAGCUUGCUCUUACGGGUGGCGAGUGGCGGACGGGUGAGGAAUACAUCGGAAUCUACUUUUUCGUGGGGGAUAACGUAGGGAAACUUACGCUAAUACCUCAUACGACCUACGGGUGAAAUCAGGAGAUCUUCGGACCUUGCGCGAUUGAAUGAGCCGAUGUCGGAUUAGCUAGUUGGCGGGGUAAAGGCCCACCAAGGCGACGAUCCGUAGCUGGUCUGAGAGGAUGAUCAGCCACACUGGAACUGAGACACGGUCCAGACUCCUACGGGAGGCAGCAGUGGGGAAUAUUGGACAAUGGGCGCAAGCCUGAUCCAGCCAUACCGCGUGGGUGAAGAAGGCCUUCGGGUUGUAAAGCCCUUUUGUUGGGAAAGAAAAGCAGCAGGUUAAUACCCCGCUGUUCUGACGGUACCCAAAGAAUAAGCACCGGCUAACUUCGUG
rnacentral:rRNA from 1 species